UGAGAAGAUUUGCUGAUAAUAUGUGGUGAACAUAGAGCUGUGGGAUUGCCAAUAGUACGCAAAAAGCGAUACCAAGUUUGGGCUACACAAUCAUUAGUCAUGCCAACUGGUAUUAGUUGAGCAUCUUCUUCGGCUAAAAGUUCCGGAAAAGCAGGACCAUAAGUAAAUUCCAACAGUCUUGCAGUUAAAGCCAAAUUAACACGAUUCCAUUGGUCUACUAAAGCCACACGAUGACGCCACAUAGCACAAGACUCCUGCAAUGUUUUCCACAAUGAGGGUGAGGGAAAACAUCUUACGCAAGCCAAAAGCCAAACUUCAAAAAGCACCUGUAAAACUCUCUCACACAAUUGAUCACCAACAUCGUCUUUAAUGGUGGGUGGUGCCAAUAAAGUUUCAUUUAUAGCCAAAAGAAACAGUAACAGAGACUCCCAUGUUUCACGAUCCAUAGUUUGGGAAAUCUGUGCCGUCUGUUGUAGAGUACGUAAAACACGAUGACAUAAAACAGCCUGGCGAUUAAUGGUAUCAAUGCCUUUAAAGUAAAGUGAAAAAUGAUCAGGCAUGUUUAAAAGCUAUUAUAUUUUGUUAUACAAGCCCUAAUUUGGUAAAUGCAUGUAUUUCUAGCUAUAUGACACCUACCAAGCUCUUUUUGAUAUAUAAAUGAGCCUUUAUAUGUUCGUGAUAAAAUUGGAAGCAUAUUUACAUAUGUACUAUUCUUUAACUUCAUUUACUUACUUUCGCCAUCUCGUGGUACGAAAAGAUUAUGAAAAUGGUUAAUUAUUUUGCGACAAUACAUAUUGGC